UCUAACAGGCCCUCAACACCAUCAUCAACUUAAAAAGAGGGAAAAAAAAAAACUGAAAAGCAAAUCAGCUGAAUCCGUCUUUGCCAGAAGUAACUAACUCGAAAUAAUCAUCUUUUUUCAGCGAAGGUUGAAGAAAUUGUUUUCCUUUGAUGGAAAAAUCUUCCAUGACUGCAAGAUUGUUAAUAUUGAAGUAGUGGUGGUCGUCGUGAAAGAAGGAAAAUCAGAUGGUUGGAUUCAACCGUCUUCGUCGAGCAGCGGUAGGAAAUAAAGCAGCUCCACUCUUGGGAUCGUGGCUGGCUUGUGUUUUGAUGACAUUGAAUGCUACUGGCAUCAAUAAUCGCAGCAUUCAGGCCUUGGCAGGCUUAGGCUGCACUAAUAGGCCAGGCUCUUCCUUGCUUCUUGGGAAAUUUGGUGUUCUUCUUCCUCUGAACAUGUUAUAGCUUUAACUGCCAUACAAGGAAAUUACUUGAUCAUCUCCGUGAAGGUGCUGACUGCUUCGGACAGCAUUUUUCCAAGUUGGAAAUUGUGGCUCCAAUUCCAUAUCUUGAUGUUCAAAGGCGGUAGAUCUGGCAUAUUCACUGCAGAAGUAUUCUGUUAGUUCUUCCCACUACACAGUAACACCCGGAGCAAAUCCAAGCUAUUCAGUUGAGACAUUUUACAAGUGCUGGUCAAUCAAUGAAAAGGAAAUUUCUCCUCAUAUUGUCGGGGAAUUAUUUUUCAAUAGCAUUGGUUAACCAGUACAAAUUGAGGUGUGGAUCUCGUUGAACAUCACAUUUCUUAUUAUUCUUUCUGGAAUUACUUUCUCCUUUAAUUGUCAUGCGGCCAUUUUCUAACUGUCUUGUUUCUUGUAUGUUUUUCACUCCUUCAUGUGGUUUUGAAUUAACAUAUUCUAACAGAUGACCCUAUAGGAGAGGGAAAAAAACGUGGAAAAACUUAAUGUUAACUGUUUCUGGCAAAACAUCAUGUCACAGUCACUGUUGGUUGGAGGAUGUUAUUCAACUUAUUCUACCAGGCUUAACUGGUGGCAACUCAGGCUAUGCUGAAAAUCAUUGUCAUUCUUUGUAACGGAUAAACCUGUGAAAAAUAGUCACAGCUCAUGGCAUAGGCACGGCAGGUUAGAUCUUAUGCAUGUUGAUAUAAUUUUUAUGGGGAUUAAAAUUAUUUAUGACAGGCAGGGUGUGUUUGCAAUCAGAUGUUAAGAUGCUCGAGUUACCCGUUUUAGAUAUAGGGUAAGCUAUAGGAUGUCUUAUUUACUUCAUUUGAAUCUCAGUAGUGAUUGAGUUCUAGAAAGAUUAUGGCUCGUGAUCAGAUUGAAACAAAUCAUGAGGAUUUUUUGUGAUUUAUUUAUGCAUUAGGUCAUUACAUCGUGAUAUGUGGCUAUGAAGCUGGCCUAGAUGAGUUUGAGAUUUGGGAUCCUGCCACUUCUAUGAUUUACCUUUGAUUUCUAAUUUGUUUCAUAUUAAUUUUUUUUUGUAUUUAAAUUAAUUUAAUUUUUUGAUGUGAAAAAUAAAUUUAAAAAAAUAAAAAAAUAUUAUUUUAAUAUAUUUUUAAUAAAAAUACUUUGAAAAUACAUUCUAGUUUCUGUUCUGAUUAUCAUAUCCGCUUUAGGAAAUAUCUUUUUAGAUGAGCAAAAUAUAGUCUUUUCCGCAUUUUGCAGAGGCCAUUGCCCAGUCAGGGCCCACCAAAAUGGGGUCCUAAGUGGGAAAAUUCGGAGAUAGUUUAAGUGGGGUCCCGCUCUUUUGCAUUUCUGCACGAUUCUUCAAGAAUCAAACCUGCAAUAUGGUGGCUGAAAGCACAAGAAACCACCGAGUUAGGAAUUACUUGCCCCUAAGAAUACUUCAUAGUCAGCCAUGGAUGUGCCAGGAAAACAUGUGGCCCUAAUAUGAUGCCAAAAUUAGCAUAUGGAAGAAUAUAUCAUCAGAUUUUGUAAAAUCUAGUAAAGAAAUAGUAUAUUAUUUUAACUAACGUCCAGUUCUGUUUAGACGAGUUUAGUUGUGGAUAAUCAACAAAUGAUACCACAGAAAAAGAUUAACAUGUUCUAAAAUUUGUGCGGGAUUCGAUCCAUCUGAAAUACCACCAUGUAUACCUCCCCUGUGCAGCAUCGAGCCAUCAAUGGAGCACUAUUAGAAGACUGGGAAAAUGCGACAUUUGUUGCAACAACGUUCGUGAUUUUGUAAAUUAGUGCCUGGUAUCUCUGGGUUUCCACCCCGUUCAGCUAGAUCAUGAAAUUAGAGCUAUAAUCUUGGUCAUUUAUGAUCUGAUAGAGCUAUUGAAAUUUUACUUUUACUUUUUUGUAAAUUUGAAAUUGUGUGCUUCCUAAUGACUUUAUGAUUGAGCAAUAUAUUUGAAGGCAGGAAAUAUGAGAGGAUAUCGUCAAAAUGCCAUGAAGAAGCACGCGAAUCCUUUGGCACCGAAGGAGAUCUUCUGAUGAUAAACAAACAUCAUCAAAUAUCUUGUAUUGUGCAUGCAUUUGAAGAGUUAAUUCAUCAUCCCAGCCAAAGAUUUGUAUGGUAUAGAGUUAAUUCAUCAUCCCAGCCAAAGAGGGUCUCUGAAGAAAAUUCAGAAACUCCCUUCAGCAUUCUCGCUUUUCAAGUGAUCAGUCUCAAGUCUCUAAUCUAGAACCUUGCAAGCCCUUGCUUCUACUCUCCUGUGAUAAGAUCAUGGAAAUCCAAUUCAUCAAGUUUUAUAGCUCUGCUCUUUUAACACUAGCAUUGUAAUUUAGCUACUAGUAUCAUUUUUAAAAAUCUGCUAUCAUAUAUUUUGCAUAAAGUGGUAUCCACUAGUGUUUUGGAGCAUGUAAUUGUUUGUGGUUAUGGGUCUAAUUUAACCUUGAGUCCAUUUUAGACAUAGAAGUUGAAGGAGUCUGAAGCAGACAAAACAAACUUCUUGUUCCAAAAAACAAAUUCAUCACCAGCUUUGCUAAUUAUCACCUUUUGCUAUUGAUUUUUCCAUUCAGAUCUCCCUGGAGAAUGCAAUGAGCGAAAGAGCUGCAUUUGAUGAUUUUCCUUGCUUCGGAUUGGCUAGCUCCAUGUAUAUUAUUAUACGUGUGUAUAACAUGAGCUUAAGGAAACUAAUAGUUUGCUCUUGAUUUCUUGCAUUUGUUCAUAAAUAUUUUUUCAAGCUAUAUUUUGAGCGUGGAUAUUAUUCUUGUAUGCUUGACUGGAUAAAUUAAAUCCCAAAAGCUUCUCAUUAUCUUAA